CUAACGUCCGUCGUGAAGAGGGAAACAACCCAGACCGCCAGCUAAGGUCCCAAAGUCAUGGUUAAGUGGGAAACGAUGUGGGAAGGCCCAGACAGCCAGGAUGUUGGCUUAGAAGCAGCCAUCAUUUAAAGAAAGCGUAAUAGCUCACUGGUCGAGUCGGCCUGCGCGGAAGAUGUAACGGGGCUAAACCAUGCACCGAAGCUGCGGCAGCGAACGUAUCACUUAAAGCGAUUCAGCGGGUUACGAUUGACGGAGCGAAGCGACGUCAAAGCGUAUACAAAGUCGAGUCGGUUUAAGGAUACGUUCGUUGGGUAGGGGAGCGUUCUGUAAGCCUGUGAAGGUGGCCUGUGAGGGUUGCUGGAGGUAUCAGAAGUGCGAAUGCUGACAUAAGUAACGAUAAAGCGGGUGAAAAGCCCGCUCGCCGGAAGACCAAGGGUUCCUGUCCAACGUUAAUCGGGGCAGGGUGAGUCGACCCCUAAGGCGAGGCCGAAAGGCGUAGUCGAUGGGAAACGGGUUAAUAUUCCCGUACUUGGUGUUACUGCGAAGGGGGGACGGAGAAGGCUAUGUUGGCCGGGCGACGGUUGUCCCGGUUUAAGCGUGUAGGUGUGUGUUCCAGGUAAAUCCGGUUCACUUUAACACUGAGGCGUGACGACGAGGCACUACGGUGCUGAAGCAACAAAUGCCCUGCUUCCAGGAAAAGCCUCUAAGCAUCAGGUAACAUCAAAUCGUACCCCAAACCGACACAGGUGGUCAGGUAGAGAAUACCAAGGCGCUUGAGAGAACUCGGGUGAAGGAACUAGGCAAAAUGGUGCCGUAACU
rnacentral:rRNA from 2 species